AGGGGAGUCGCCAAGUGGUAAGGCAUCGGAUUUUGAUUCCGACAUUCGCAGGUUCGAUCCCUGCCUCCCCUGCCA
rnacentral:tRNA from 6 species